rnacentral:misc_RNA from 1 species
AAGUCGUAACAAGGUUUCCGUAGGUGAACCUGCGGAAGGAUCAUUACAUAACAAAACGUACAGGAACAAACGUUCCUGCUACACUAAACCCUUGUGAACCGUUAUUGUCACCUUUGGCGUGGUGUCGCUUCGGCGGCGUCACGUCAAACGGUACCCAACCAUUAAACCAUUUGCACCAAAAUAUAAAGACUGAAUAAAGAUUUUCUAAUUGAAAUACAACUUUUAACAAUGGAUCUCUUGGCUCUU